AGGCUUGAUAGUCAAUUAUGAUCUUAAAUUGCAAAUUUGAGGGUAAACAUUAGUUUUUAGGCCUA
rnacentral:tRNA from 1 species